CACGUAGGGCGCGAGCGUUGUCCGGAAUUAUUGGGCGUAAAGAGCUCGUAGGCGGCCUGUUGCGUCCGCUGUGAAAGCCCGGGGCUUAACCCCGGGUCGGCAGUGGAUACGGGCAGGCUAGAGGUAGGUAGGGGAGAAUGGAAUUCCCGGUGUAGCGGUGAAAUGCGCAGAUAUCAGGAGGAACACCGGUGGCGAAGGCGGUUCUCUGGGCAUGUCCUGACGCUGAGGAGCGAAAGUGUGGGGAGCGAACAGG
rnacentral:rRNA from 1 species